UACAGAGGGGGCAAGCGUUGUUCGGAGUUACUGGGCGUAAAGGGCGCGUAGGCGGCCUGUUAAGUCGAACGUGAAAUCCCCGGGCUCAACCCGGGAACUGCGUCCGAAACUGGCAGGCUUGAAUCCGGGAGAGGGAUGUGGAAUUCCAGGUGUAGCGGUGAAAUGCGUAGAUAUCUGGAGGAACAUCGGUGGCGAAGGCGACAUCCUGGACCGGUAUUGACGCUGAGGAGCGAAAGCCAGGGGAGCAAACGUG
rnacentral:rRNA from 1 species